UAUUUCCUUUUCGAUAUCUUUCUUGAAUCAUUGGUUGUUCAGUAGCAUGUUGUUUAGUUUCCACAACUAUGCAAACCUUUGAAGAUAUGAAUCUAUGACAUUGUAUAAAUGUAUAUGACAUUGUGUAAAUAAGUGUUUAUACAGUGUCGUGAAGAUUGUAGCCUCUUUAAUUUAGGUAAUUUUUCAUUCAGGUAAAAUGUAAUUCAGUAUACUUUUUAAUGUUUCAUGUAUAAAACAAAUGACAUAUAUUUGGAAUUCCUGUUUAUUUGACUCAUUCAUUCUUUAACCAUUAAAAUACACUUCUUCCCUAGUACUCUAAUGGCAUUUGUCUUUAGGUGGUGAAAAAUAAUAUCUUAUCUGAUAAAACAUUGACUGAUUUUUAGACUUCAUAUAAUUUCACUUUAUUGUUUCAUGGGAUACUGAAGGCCAGUAGUGUUCAAAAUUGUAUUACUAUAACUCUAAAAUAUUGUUGUAAAAUGAUUAUCUUUCUUUUUUAAGAUAUCCUAUCUUUUGAAAAUGUCAUAAAAAUAUUUUAAUUGGAAUGUUGCAAAGGAGAUAACAUAUAGUAUAAUAUGAAUAUUAAAAACUGCUACCUCAUUCAUAUAUAUGUAUAUAUUCUCCAGUGGUACCUAAAUAGUGUAAUGAUUUGAUAUACAACAUCCAUUUAUACAUACUCAAGAAAUUUUAAUUUAAUUUUUAGUAAUUUACAGUUUUUUCUAUAAACACAUAUAUAUGUAGUAUCAUAUUUACUAUACAUAAUUUAUCAUAAUGCUGUUUAAAGCUUUUAAAUUUUUUUCCCUAUAACUCUGAAGUCCUACAGUUAAAAGUCCCUACUAUAACCAUCCUAUUUGAGUGAUCGUUCAGUUAUAAUUAAUGCAUAAUUGAUCAAAAUGCCAAAACAUAUUAUUAAUUUUGAUAAAAAUGUUUUCAGAAACAUGUAUCUUAAGAACACAUUAAGACAUAUAAAAUAGUAUACUUUGGAAGACAUUAACUAUGAAAUAAGUGAUUUAGUAGCAAUGACCUAAAUAAGUUAAUGAAAAAAAGACUUUUUAAAAAUUUAUUUCUGUGAUGGACACUAUCUUUCAAUUCUCAGCUUCACCAGUGAAAUACAGAAAGUCUUCCAGCAUUAAGUCCCCUUUAAAUAUCAACAGAUAUAUGCCUUUCUAAUGAAGGGAACAUUUUGAUGACAUAGAUAGCACAGCGUUUCCUCUAAGUUAGAGCCAAGUGCUUCAGGAGAAUAUAUGAAAUCUCAUGUUACCUGCAAAAAAAAUGACUGUCUUUUCUGAAUGUUCAAUGCCUCAAAUAUUCUGAUAAACAUUUUGCCUGUGCCAUUUUAUUAAAUCUUAUUACAACCUAUGAGAAAAUAAUCAUACCAUCAUUUUAUGUGAGACAACAGAGAAAUAGGAUACAUUUUUCCCAGGACCCUACAGGUGGUAGAGCCAGGGCUCAAAUAAAAUGCUCUCAGAGCCAAUGCUGCUUACCAUUGGCCUCACCCACCUCCCUGUAAGAGCAAUUGCAAUGCAGGUAGCUUUUCAGGCUUUCUUGUUUCCCUCUCAUUAUCAAAUCCUAUUAAAUUGCCUUAUAAGAAAUGUCUGUAUGUAAACUGAAACUUCAGUGAUAAAAUUUGCUUCCAUUUAUUCUUUGUAGUUUUAGUUGAAUUUCUUUGUAGUUUUAGUUGCAAUAUAAUCACACAAUUUAAUAUAUUUCUGUUUAUAUAUAGUGUAUUUACAUAUAAAGGAAAAUAUGCAUGAGUUAAGCCCUAUUGUGAUAAAAUCAAUACUAAAAACAUGUGGAAUUUAAUAACAUAUACUGAGUUGUUGGGGUUUUUUAGUGUCUUAAAGGUGCUUAAAUACUUUCAUGGCUCUGUGUAUCAUUUUUAAUGAUAGCACUAACUUUUUUCUUGAAUACAUAAUUAUACGUUUUUUGUGGAUGGAAGGUACAGUGCUAAUACUUUUGGAACUUAAAGAGAAAACAAUCAUAAUUACAAAAUCUCAAUGUUAGCUUUUAAUAUAUGUUUAAUUCAGUAUAUGGACAAAUAAUAAUAUAUGAGAAAAUAUGUUAUGUUUAACCAAGUGUUGAAGAGGAUAUUUAUGCCACAGGGGCUCAGAGGAGGGGAAACACCACGGAUGAUGACAUCUGUAACGGAAGGAAAGGACCUUGACUUAAAGAAGUGAUGUAAAAAAGGAUAGUGUCUCAGAAAAGAGGGAAAUGAACAGACGUAUUUGAGUAUGAGGAAGAAAUGACAAUAAUAGAAUUUAAUGGUCAUCUAACAACUAUAAUGUAAAACAUAUCAGAAGAGGAAAGAUUGAAGGCAGGGUAUUGUAAUAACCUAGACUUAGAAUGUAGUAAUGAGUGUCUAAGGCUCUAUUUGCCUUUCAAAAGAGUGAUUUACCCAUAAAUUUACUAAUGCUUCUGUGACCUAAGCUCUCUGAUCUUCUGUUGAAAAUUAUGUGCCUUGAAAGCCAGUUGUUCUCUGGCAUAUAACCACAGGGAAUAUGUAGUUAGUUAAUUAAUAAAAUAUAAGAGAAGCAGACUAUAGCAUGGAAGACCUGAGAAUAUGGGGAAAUUUUUAAUGCUGCUCUGAAAUGUCAUUCAAAAGCAAUCAAGACAUAGAGCAUGAAAACAGUUACCACAUUCACUUGCAGCCUAUGAUCUCCUCCUGGUGAAAGAUUACACAUCUUCAUAUUCACACAGCUUAUAUCCAGGCAUACGAUAGGGGCUGAAGAAUACCUUGUUGCUGAAUUAAAUUAAAGUAGGAUGCUACCCAAGUAGAAUGAUACAGAUAGUAUUUUCUAGAAGGAGAGUAGACACAGUUAUGUACCAAAGAAUGUAUAAGUAAGAGCAUGCAAGCAUUGGUGGAACAAGAUGGGAGGAGUAAAUAACUGUUAAAGGGAUUUCAGAAGUCUCAUGUAAGGGAUGGAUUUUCAUCUAGAUUCAAAAAAUGAGUAAGUUAGAAAAUUUGGUGGGUAUGGGGAGAAUGUCCUAGGGAUAGGUUUUGAAGAAGCAAGGUUCUAGGAUUGUAAUCUAUUAUGUAGUGUAUUAUUAUUACACUACAUAAUAAUGUAUAAUAAUAAUGUAAUGCAAGCUACAUAAUAGUGAAUAAUAAUAAUGUAAUGUAAUCUAUUAAUGUGGAUGCAUAAGACAAAAAUAAAUAUUUACAUUAAAAAUAAACAGAUAUCUCCUUUCUUGUUUUGUAAUACUCAUCUGUAAUUUGGCAAACAUAAUGAUGAAAAAAUAGAAUGCAUCUUGAUUUUAUGUUUUAUUCUGAUGGCAUAAAAUAUAGUAUGCUUUUCUAGUAGUGAGACACGAAAGGGAAAUUGUCACUGAAGUCCAAAUUGAUACACUCUCAAAAGAAAGAAAAGGAAGUAUUUUAUCAUUGGUUAAGAUGUGAUUGAGGUACCUCAUAUAUUCAACUAUAAUCAUUCAACAAUUUUUUGAGGACCUAUUGUAUGCUAAGCACCACAUUAAGACAUAAUUUAUCCAUGAAUACAGAUGAACGCAAAAAUAUGUUACAGGCAAGAAUACUACCUCCAUGUGCUUAACCUCUGUAAUGGGUCAAAAUCUACUCUUCUUUUUGUCAUUACCAUAUCACUUCCAUCUUUUCCUAACAGCACAUCAAUUUUUUUCUUUUCUCUUACGAAAACUACUUCCCUCAUGUUCAAGUUGUCUAAAUAAUCAUCAGCUCUAGUUUGGCAUCAUUAGCAAUUUGUCUGUGAACUUUGUGGACCUUAACUGAGGAAUAUAAGAGUGAAAGACGUUUGGAGCUGAAUUAUUGGAUUGCCAUUGUUUGACCUACCUGCCAUCCAUGAACCUCUCCUAUUAAGAUCUUCAGAAUGGAAAUUUAACUUCAUCAUCAUCCUGCAAUGUUUCAUUCAUGACAGUGUCACGUAUGGACAAAUGUAAGUCUCCACUUGAGUUUCUGUGAUACAGGAUCCUCUUAGCCAGCAGUGACAAAGAUGUAAGUGAAAGUAGUGGAACCUACAAAUUCAUCACUGUGCAUCAGGUGCUGACUGAAAAAAAAUUCACAACCUAAAAGUUGAGAAUUAUGUUUUAUUCAGCAGACUUACUGAGGACCUUAAGUCCAGGAGAUAGCCUCUCAGAUAGCUCUGAGGGACUGUUCUAAAGAGACUAUAUUUACCAUAAGAUAUAACUGGAAAAUGCCUUCAAACUGAUGCUAGAUUUUACAGAUUGCUGUACAGUAUGUAUAGGUAUAAUCUACCCCAUGGAUUGUUCUAAGAAGUAUAUGAAAUUAUAUGUGAUUUAAUGACAUGAUUCUUGGCACACUGUAAGUACUUAGUUGAAAUUAACUUUAAAAUUAUUAUGGAUAAUUGCUAAAACAAAAUUAUGAUUGUCUUCCCACAAACUGCCUAUACAAAAGGCACAGUUAUAUUUGAUGUAGAAAGAAUACUUGGUUUGUCACAGAUGGGUCUUAAGCUUUUGAUUUUAACCAUCUUUAUGCUGGCUACCAAGCAGAUGCCCCAUUUUGCUGUACAACUUAAAAUAUCAGUUAAGACUGGCAUUCUCAUUGCUGAUAGGCUAAUGAAAUAAAAAUCAAGAAGUAAAAAUAUUUCAGUGAUGAGAUUACAGCAUAAUCUUUUUGACAUUCUUCUAACUUGGGCUCUCGGGGGAAAAAAGCUUUAAAAAUUAUAGAAAAAUAAUACCAAUUGCUUAAGCAAAUACUUCAUAAUACCUAUGCCUUCCAACCUUAAGAAAACAUCCCCUAAAUAUAAGAAUCUCAAUACUUAAAUGCCCUUCAAAAAUGAUUUUCACUUUUUGAAACCUUUUUCAGAUUUAAAAUUUUUAUGAUAUUUAACCAGUGAUUUAUAAGAAAUUAGUAAAAACCCCAAAUGUUGCUUUACCUUAUAGCAAUGUUGUACCAGAUAAACUUGUAGCUAUCCCACGAUACAAAUUCAACAAAUCAUGUAAAGUAUCCUUUAUUUUUUUUCAGUAAAGAGAAGCAUGCCUGGAAAUUGCUUAUCUAUAAAAAAUAUUUGGUGGCAGAUAAAGUAAUAACUGAUGACACUUGUUCAAGGCAUCUUUUCAGAGAUGUAACAGUAAGAUUUAUGUAAUCUCACUGACAGCUCUGCAAGAUUAUAAAUUAAGCAAUCAGAUGCUAGUGUGCCUAAGAAUUGCUAACAUCCAUCCUAGUUGGAAUUUUCCAUAAAAAAUGUUUUCUCUUAUAAAACUAAAUAUUUCCUGUUUGAUUAAUAUUACAUUUAAAAUUUGUUUUAGGUUAUCAUUUUGGGGUAAAAAAUUGCUUAUAUUUUUUAUUGCAGAAGAUACUUGGGUUUUUCUCAUUUUUUUUCUAUCUUCAAUCUUGAUAACCUACAACCUAUGAUUAAAGAACUUCUGGCUUCCUUCCUAGUAAUCUACAUAUUUUCCUCAAACUUUUUUUUCAUGCCUGAUUCUGAUGCCAGUCACAUCUUUCUAAUCAUUUAGUUUUCAAAAAUUUUUGAAUUUACGUGUUUAGGGAUUUAAGUUUUAUAAUUUCAUUGUAUUAUUAUUAUAAUUAUCAUUAAAUCUUCAAACAACUGAGCAAGUUAGUUAUUUUUUUCCUUUUUAUAGAUGUGGGAAUAAAGCUCUGAGAAUUUAUAAAAUUUGCCUGUGGUCUAUAGAUAAUAAAUUGUGUGGGAGAAAAACUGAAAAUAAGCUGGAAAAGCAUACCAGUGAGAGUCAGAUUUAAACAUCAGCAUGGGAGUACCUUCUGUGGCACAAUGGGACAGGCAUCAUCUCCAAAGCGCUAGUAGGUAGGUUUGAUCCCUGCCCUGGCACCAUGGGUUAAGGAUCCAGCAUUGCCACAGCUACAUCAUAGGUCACAGCUGUGGCUUGGAUCUAUCCCUGGCCCAGAACUCCAUAUGCUGAAAGGGGAGACAAAAAAGAAAAAAAAAGUUAUAAACAAGUAAAUAUCAGCAUGGAGGUAGUCACUGGCUAAACAAAUCAUUCAUUUGUAAAUACAUUUCUGAAAUAAUUUAUUGUCUUGUCUUGACUGGACAGUUUAAGAACCACUAAGUUUCAUACUUACUGGUUUUCAACACUUUCCUUUUGUGUAGAGGUUGUAUUACAUUUUCUAAAAUGCAGUGCUUACAAAUGUUAUACUUGAAAAACUGCAAGAUCCUUCUACCUAAAAAAAAGAAAAAAACUAUCUUCACAGUGUGUAUACUCUAAAACCAGAGUAGGUCAACAGAUAUAAUUAAAGUACAUCAACUUCUCCAUUUUCUGUCUUCACGUUAUAUAGUCUUAUCCUGCUUGGACAGUUAGACAGAACUGAACUUGUGAACUCCCACUAAUGUCAACCUCUCCAAAUCCUGAUGCGCAUCCAGGGUUCUGCAUUUCAGUAGAUGAUAGUACCAUUUUUCCUAUUGCUCAAUCCAGAAACUCAGACAUCCUUGUUUAAAAGGCCACCCUUGAAUGAUUUAGUGGAGUUCUCGUCAUGGUGCAGUGGUGAGCGAA